UUUAUAAAUGUCUCGCACAAUGACGAUUUCAUUAAAGAGGUGAUAGAGAAGUGCAGUUUUGAUAAUAUCAAAAAGCACAAGUAUGAUUCCACAAGAAUAAUUGAUCCCAGACAUGAUUCGACAGUAUUCCGAAAAGGUGUUAUAGGCGACUGGAAGAACUGGUUUACUGUAGCACAAAAUGAACAGUUUGAUGAAAUAUACAGAGAGGAAAUGAAGAACUGUGAUGUUGACUUUAUCUAUGAACAAUAAUCAUGAAAUUGAUUAUCAUUUUUUUUUGCUGUUUAUUUUACCGUAUUGUUGCCGUAACUGGAUGGUUUGCAAUAACUAUCACAGUUAUAAUCAAAACAUGUAUUUCUAACAACUGUCAAUAUCAUGAGUAUAGAUCCACUGUAUCAUUGGUCAGUAUACAAAACGGUCCAAGGGUUUGUUUGGAUAUAGAAUAUAGCUGUCACUGGAUUUUCUCCUUUUCCGGAAGUAACACCAUUCAGUUGUUAAUUUGGAAGUCAGUUUAGUUCUAUGGGAUGUAUACAGUCGUAGAUACAAAGUCAUAUACGUCUAUAAAUAAUAACAAAACGUAUGCGUUUAAAGAUUAAGCCAGAAUUAACUACGCCUUAAGCUAUUUUUAGUAAGGGUGAUUUUACAAUUGGAUAUAACCCUUAACUUACCUUACAAACAGAGAAAUUACAUAAACAUAUUUAAGGUAGGAUUGCUGUAGGCAGUACUCUAAAUUUAUUUAUUGUCUGCCUUUAUUUUAAGUUUUGUCAAGUUCGAAAUGCAUUCAAGAAAAUAGUAAGUCUUUUUCUGUUUUGAUAUAUGAAAUUUAACAUGAUAAUU